CGUCCCUCGUAGAUUCAAAAUGGUGGCUCACGUAGGAGAUAGUUUUUGCAAGAGGUUUAUUUUAUAUUCAUAGAUUUUGUAACAAAAAUCAAGCCAAAAGUAUGAGUUCCCGAAGAUGGUUUUGGCCCACAAUCAGUGGGAUAGAGGCUGAGAGAGUAUUAAUGGAAAGAGGAGUUGAUUGCAGUUUCUUGGCAAGACCUAGUUCAAAUAAUCCAGGAUCGUUCACGUUAUCAGUCAAGAGAAAUGGAGAGGUUACCCACAUCAAAAUUCAAAAUUCUGGAGACUUCUAUGACCUGUAUGGCGGCGAGAAAUUUGCAACACUCUCAGAGCUGGUACAGUAUUAUAUGGAAAAUCAGGGACAACUUAGGGAGAAGAAUGGGGAAAUUAUCGAACUUAAGUAUCCCUUGAGCUGCGCUGACCCCACAACUGAGAGAUGGUUUCAUGGGCAUCUGUCCGGGAAGGAAGCAGAAAAAUUAAUUUUAGAGCGAGGUAAAAAUGGAAGCUUUUUAGUGAGAGAAAGUCAAUCGAAGCCUGGAGAUUUUGUUCUUUCUGUUCGAACCGACGAUAAAAUGACUCAUGUAAUGAUUAGAUAUUCCGAUAACCAAUAUGAUGUUGGUGGUGGAGAGAAAUUCGAUAGUUUGGCUGAACUAAUCGAGUAUUACAAAAAGAAUCCGAUGGUUGAAACUUCAGGAACAGUCGUCCACCUAAAACAGCCUUUUAAUGCAACUAGAAUCAGCGCGUCGGGGAUACACUCGCGAGUCAAACAGCUGCAAAACGAAAACGGACCUAAUGGUAUGGGCAAAGCUGGGUUUUGGGAGGAAUUCGAAUCGUUGCAACAGCAGGAGUUCAAACAUUUGUAUUCUCGGAAAGAGGGAGUUAAACCGGAGAAUAGGAACAAAAAUAGRUACAAGAACAUAUUGCCUUUUGACGAUACACGAGUUAAAUUGAAAGACGCUGAUCCCAACGUCCCCGGUUCUGAUUACAUCAACGCAAAUUAUAUUAAGUGGAAAGCUGAUUAUUGCGGAGGGAACGAAUUAGGUAGCGAUCCGAGCGGAAAAGUGUACAUUGCAACCCAAGGCUGUUUACCUUCCACGAUCGCCGAUUUUUGGCAAAUGGUGUGGCAGGAGAACUGUAGAGUUAUAGUAAUGACAACCAAAGAGACUGAACGAGGCAAAACGAAGUGUGCCAGGUAUUGGCCGGAUCAGGGAACAAAAGAUUACAGAAAAAUCAAAGUGAAGAUAUUGAUGGAGUCGUCGACUCCGCAUUACACCCUUAGAGAGUUUCUAGUUAGCAUGGAUGGAACGAAUUGUGAGAGAAAAGUUUACCAGUACCAUUUUCAGGCAUGGCCGGAUCAUGGCGUGCCUUCAGACCCAGGCUGUGUUUUAAAUUUUUUGCAUGAGGUUAAUAAGAGACAGGAAAGCCUUCAGCAAGAGCUUCCAGAUAAUCCCCCAGGUGCUAUUCUAGUGCAUUGUUCUGCUGGUAUUGGAAGGACUGGCACUUUUAUUGUUAUUGAUAUGAUUUUGGACCAGCUUAAAAAAUACGGUUUAGACUGUGAAAUAGAUAUACAACGCACAAUUCAAAUGGUUAGGUCCCAACGUUCUGGGAUGGUACAGACUGAAGCCCAAUAUAAAUUUGUUUAUUUAGCAGUACAACAUCAUAUAGAGACAACCACUGAAAGAAUGAAGGCUGAACAAAAAUCUAUGCAAAUAGGUCGGGAGUACACAAACAUUAAGUAUAGCAGCGACAUAGGCAGCACGUUAUCCUCGUCGGCGACGAGCGGUUUGGGGAGUACAACCUCACUGUCUAGCAGGUCUUCCACUUUGGCCCACUUCCCGGUCUCAUCUCCCAAUUCUGUGAUUUUAAGAGGCGAAACAAAGAAGCCACCUCGAGCUGUGUCAGAUAUUCCAUUGCCCAGGUGGUGUUGUUUCCAGGCUCAUUUUAGAUGUUGAGUGUCAUGUGUAGUAUAGUAGAACCGUAUUAAUUGACGACUUUGUUCGACGGUGGCGCCGCGCCGGUUCRCAAAAUUUGCCGCCUGAUGAUUUGGUCAAGCCUACUGUGUAUGAGAACAUUCCUGUCAGCGAACGAAAACAUUCAGGGACGUCGAGCUCUUUGAAUUGUCCUGUGCCGCCGCCACGGAAGGCGACGUGACAUAAACGAACUUUUAAUUCCAAAUUUACUUCAUGUACCUUCUCAGUGUGCUAGGAAAAUUAUCAAGUCAAAUUAUUUACUAAAAGAUGCAUUGUUCAAGAGCCUAGUUGAUGUAUCAUUGUUAAGAAAAUGCCAGUAUUUACAACCUUGAAGAGAUCGUUAGUGUUACUUGCCCACCGAAGUACCCUUUAAGUAACACAGUCCCAAAUCGGAUAAAAUUAUUUUUAGAGCACAAUUGUAUAUAUUCAAUAUAAUUAUACCACCAUACGUAUGUUUAUCUUGAAUAUCUUGGAUUAACACACGUAUUUUUAAUUUGUAAUUAUUGCCAUUGAUUUGAUUUUGUUAUGCUUUGUCGCCUAAAAUGCUAAAAAAAAUUCCAGUAGAUUUUAAUAGUAAGUAUUUUAGGCAUGUGCUUUUUAUUUUAUUUCCAAAGAUCUGAAAAGAGAGUUUAAACUUAGUUGGCAAGUCACUUGGUGAUUUUUCGUGAUUAAUUUUAAUUUUAAGUAAAUUUGUGUAUUUUUAUAUUUUUGCUAAAUUAUUUAUAUUCAAAGCACACUUAGUGAUAUAACACCUCGUUAAUACAGGUGGGGUGCUAUUUAUGUUUAUUUUUACCACCUGUAUUAAAUACAGAUUCGACAAUAUAUCUUAUAUUUAAAUAGAUAUUUGCAUAAAAUAUUUUAAAAACAGUUUUUUUUAUCUGUUUUACAACAAACUAGUGCUAUGUUUUGCUUUUUCUGUUAUCAUAAGAAUUAUACCGUUUUAGUCAGAUUAAAGGUUUUGUCAACUUUCUGUCGUCUACAAUAUAUGUUUAGAAAGUU